rnacentral:rRNA from 1 species
AUACGUAGGGGGCGAGCGUUGUCCGGAAUGAUUGGGCGUAAAGGGCGCGUAGGCGGCCCGGUAAGUCUGGAGUGAAAGUCCUGUUUUUAAGAUGGGAAUUGCUUUGGAUACUGUCGGGCUUGAGUGCAGGAGAGGUUAUCGGAAUUCCCGGUGUAGCGGUGAAAUGCGUAGAGAUCGGGAGGAACACCAGUGGCGAAGGCGGGUAACUGGACUGCAACUGACGCUGAGGCGCGAAAGUGUGGGGAGCAAACAGGAUUAGAUACCCUGGUAGUCCACACUGUAAACGAUGAAUGCUAGGUGUAAGAGGUAUCGACCCCUUUUGUGCCGGAGUUAACACAAUAAGCAUUCCGCCUGGGGAGUACGGCCGCAAGGUUGAAACUCAAAUGAAUUGACGGGG